AGCGCUUCUCAGUCUUUUGGCUAAGAGCAAGUGUAGUAUCUGUCCUUAUCAGUUUAAUAGCUGAUACACCCUCUCUCCUUGUACAAUAUAUUCAAUGGGUUUUUGGAGCAGGGAGAUGGAAUAGGAGCUUGUUCUGUGGAAUCUGCGCAUCAACCUGGUGUUGCAGUACCUCCAGCCACGGUGCAUCCCCU
ensembl:snRNA U2 U2 spliceosomal RNA